GCCGGGGUGGCGGAAUCAGGCAUACGCGCAUGUCUCAGACACAUGUUCUUUGAGGGUUCGAAUCCCUCCCCCGGUACCA
rnacentral:tRNA from 1 species